GACUGCCGGCUAAAAGUCGGAAGGAAGGUCGGGGAUGACGUCAAAUCAUCAUGCCCCUUAUGACCUGGGCUACACACCGUGCUACAAUGGGCGGUACAAAGGGUCGCGAACCCGCAGGGGGAGCCAAUCCCAAAAAAGCCGCUCUCAGUUCGGAUUGCAGGCUGCAACUCGCCUGCAUGAAGCCGGAAUCGCUAGUAAUCGCGGAUCAGCAUGCCGCGGUGAAUGCGUUCCCGGGCCUU
rnacentral:rRNA from 1 species